UUAAAAAGCUCGUAGUUGGAUUUCUGCGGGAGCGGGGCGGCCUGCCAGCACGUCUGGUGUUGGUCAGCACUUCUCUCGCAUCCUGCCGCGAUCCGCGCUUCCAUUAACUUGGAGGCGCUCGGGGACCGGCUCGUUUACUUUGAGAAAAAUAGAGUGUUCAAAGCAGGCCUCACGCCUUGAAUAAGUUAGCAUGGAAUAAUAUUAAAGGACUUCGGUUCUAUUUUGUUGGUGUUCGGGACUGAAAGUAAUGAUUGAUAGGGACAGUUGGGGCGGUCCGUAUCCCAAAGCGAGAGGUGAAAUUCUUGGACCUUCGGAAGACGAACAGCUGCGAAAGCGUUCCGCAAGGAUGUUCCCUUUGAUCAAGAACGAAAGUUGGGGGGAUC
rnacentral:rRNA from 1 species